rnacentral:rRNA from 1 species
GCGUACUUGUGUCGCCGCUCUUCAUCCUUCGGACGAACGUGUCUGGCAUUAGGKUGUCGGGCUCGGCAGUCCGMUCAUUUACUGUGAAAAAAUUAGAGKGUUUAAAGCAGGCGUUUGCUGUGAAUACAUUAGCAUGGAAUAAUAAGAUAGGACUUUGGKGCUAUUUUGCUGGUUUGCACACCAAGGUAAUGAWUAAUAGGGAUAGUUGGGGAUAUUCAUAUUCAAUUGUCAGAGGUGAAAUUCUUGAUUUAUGGAAGAUGAACUUAUGCGAAAGCAUUUACCAAGGAUGUUUUCAUUAAUCAAGAACGAAAGUUAGGGSAUCGAAGAUGAUUAGAUACCAUCGUAGUCUUAACCAUAAACUAUGCCGACUAGGGAUUGGCGGGUGUUACUUUAAUGACCCCGUCAGCACCUUAUGAGAAAUCAAAGUCUUUGGAUUCCGGGGGGAGUAUGGUCGCAAGGCUGA